rnacentral:rRNA from 1 species
AACGAACGCUGGCGGCAGGCUUAACACAUGCAAGUCGAACGCUCGACCUUCGGGUCGGGAGUGGCAGACGGGUGAGUAACGCGUGGGAACGUACCCUUCGGUUCGGAAUAACCCAGGGAAACUUGGGCUAAUACCGGAUACGUCCUGGCCUGGAGACAGGGUGGGAGAAAGGUUUACUGCCGAAGGAUCGGCCCGCGUCGGAUUAGCUAGUUGGUGGGGUAACGCCCACCAAGGCGACGAUCCGUAGCUGGUCUGAGAGGGCGACCGGCCACACUGGGACUGAGACACGGCCCAGACUCCUACGGGAGGCAGCAGUGGGGAAUCUUGCGCAAUGGGCGAAAGCCUGACGCAGCGACGCCGCGUGAGGGAUGACGGCCUGGUU